UUUUAUUUGAGAGUUUGAUCCUGGCUCAGGAUGAACGCUGGCGGCGUGCCUAACACAUGCAAGUUGAGCGAUUUACUUCGGUAAAGAGCGGCGGACGGGUGAGUAACGCGUGGGUAACCUACCCUGUACACACGGAUAACAUACCGAAAGGUAUGCUAAUACGGGAUAAUAUAUUUGAGAGGCAUCUCUUAAAUAUCAAAGGUGAGCCAGUACAGGAUGGACCCGCGUCUGAUUAGCUAGUUGGUAAGGUAACGGCUUACCAAAGGCGACGAUCAGUAGCCGACCUGAGAGGGUGAUCGGCCACAUUGGAACUGAGACACGGUCCAAACUCCUACGGGAGGCAGCAGUGGGGAAUAUUGCACAAUGGGCGAAAGCCUGAUGCAGCAACGCCGCGUGAGUGAUGAAGGCCUUCGGGUCGUAAAACUCUGUCCUCAAGGAAGAUAAUGACGGUACUUGAGGAGGAAGCCCCGGCUAACUACGUGCCAGCAGCCGCGGUAAUACGUAGGGGGCUAGCGUUAUCCGGAUUUACUGGGCGUAAAGGGUGCGUAGGCGGUCUUUCAAGUCAGGAGUGAAAGGCUACGGCUCAACCGUAGUAAGCUCUUGAAACUGGGAGACUUGAGUGCAGGAGAGGAGAGUGGAAUUCCUAGUGUAGCGGUGAAAUGCGUAGAUAUUAGGAGGAACACCAGUUGCGAAGGCGGCUCUCUGGACUGUAACUGACGCUGAGGCACGA
rnacentral:rRNA from 1 species